GGGUGUUUUUGGGGGGUACAGCCUAGCGGAGGGGGCGAGUCCAUGGGCAGGGCCUGCCGGGAAGGGGCGUGUCUGUGGGCAUGGCCAGGGAGGGGUCAUCUCCCUCCCCCAGCUCCUCCUUCGCAUUCAACUUCCUGCUCCGCAUGCUUCGAGGAGCUUUGCUCCGCCAGGCCCCUCUGCCACACCUUGGAGCAGCCAAUAAUGGGAUAAACCGCUCCUCCUCCAAGUUACGGGUGUCAGGUUUUUCCUCUCAGUGACAAGAAGAUGACAAAGAGAGAAGUGUCCCCUUUUCCAUGUUUGUUCAGUAAUUUAGGGUUGCAUUCUGGAAGUUCUUUUGGCUUCUGUUAUAUUCCACUGACCAAUCUUGUGAUGUUGUGAAGCAGGAAAUUAAGUUGCCUGGGCUGAGUCUUCAAACGGCCUCUCCUGGAAGUCAAGAGUUCCAGCUGCCAAUUCACCGAUUUGCCUGUGGUUUGAGGGCUUCUGGCCGCAUUCCCGCCCUGAUUAAGGAAGAAGCUGCUCUGCUCCAGCCCUUGGUGAGAUGGUAAAUCACCGAGGCCACAACCCAGGGCUGCCACCAUAGUGCACUGAUUUCCUGGGACAGACCCAGCACCCUUCGGCCCCAGCCACCUGAGAGCAGUGGCUGAAAAACCCGGCUCCUCUGGCUUUUAUAGACUUAAUGGCUGGGGUGGAGGAAGCAAGGGAAGCUGAGUUAUAUUUACUGAGAAUCUGCCCCAGCCUCCCUCUGAUGAAUGCCUUCCAGCUCGCUUUGAAAGGGCUCACGGUGAGCCGCUGGGUAAUGACACGACCCGCAGCAGGCCGGCCCUCAGGAACAGUGACUGAUGACCAGCCAGGCUGGGGAGGGCGAGGAGCAACGAGGGUGAUCACACCUCCACACGGGUGGAGGUUUGGGGGAUCCCGGGGGACGCAGACACCUGAGUGGAAGCACCCAGCUUCUCAGUCAUCUUAGCUCCAGCCAUGGCCCUCACCUUCACCUGGCUUUCUCAUGGCCAAAGAGCUUAAUAUUCAGGAAAGCCAUUUCGAGACUUGUGGAGAUCCUCCUGUCUCAGCCUCCUGAGGGCUGGGAUCACAGGUGCGCACCACCACACUGGGCGUUGCGUCUUUCUCUCCACACAGGGCGACACUGACACACAUUUGGUGAUAGCAUUUCAGGCUCAGACCCAAGCUCACCUUGGGGGUGAGAACUGAACUCCCCGGUCCACAGUACACCAGCAGCUCCACACCCUGCCUUGCACCCCUUCUGCCUUGAGAGCGGCCCAUGACACAGAGUGUGUCUCCGUCCCUCCCCUUAGCAGCCUGAGUUCCCCUCGCUCGCUCUCUCUCUGCACUGUUCCUGGAAAGAAGCCCGACUCCAAGAACCCAGGAGCCAGAGCCCCAGUGCACUGGAAAGCGAGCACCAAGUAGUCCCAGACUGGAUGUCCGUCCCUCCAGGGACUUCCACAGCGAGACCAUGAGCAGAUCAUCUGGGGCCGUGCUGAGGUGACACAUGUUCCACAUCCGCUCACUUUGCUGCCAAGUCAGCCUCACUUUCCUGGCCCGGGACCCUGCUGUCUCCCUAGAUCUGCGCAUUCACCCUGCAGACUUCUCUUCCCACCCUGCUUGGCUGCUGGACUCACAGGUCACGCAUGGCCUGCUCACUGCAGGAAAAAGAGAAGAGUGACCCAGGUGCUGUGACUUUCGGUGACAGCUGCCGUGUGACUCGGCGUUUCCGCCCUGCACGCCUCAGAAUCGGAAACAGGGGCGCAGACCUGCCGAGGCCCGCGUGCUCGUGGAGGGCUUCUCAGCCUGCUGGGAGGAGGUCACAGCACAGCCCCGCGUCAGGCCCAAUGUCACCGGGACCGAAGUCUCUGAGGGCCAAGUGGAGCUGCACGCAGAGAGUUGGAGGCUUGGGGACAGAAACGCUCCAGACCAGAGAGCUGGCGUCUGCCCAGCAUUGUAAACAGACUUUUCACCCUAACACGUUAAUUUCAUUCUAUGUGAAUCUCACCUCAAUUUUUUU